rnacentral:rRNA from 1 species
UACGAAGGGGGCGAGCGUUGUUCGGAUUUACUGGGCGUAAAGGGCGCGCAGGCGGCUUUGUUUGUCAGGCGUGAAAGCCCCGGGCUUAACCUGGGAACUGCGUUUGAUACGGCAGGGCUAGAGUUCGGGAGAGGAGCGUGGAAUUCCCAGUGUAGAGGUGAAAUUCGUAGAUAUUCGCAAGAACACCAGUGGCGAAGGCGGCUCACUGGCCCGAUACUGACGCUGGGGCACGAAAGCGUGGGGAGCAAACAGG